GCAUCCAUUGUACUGAAUCGAAACCCUGGCUCUCAAGAGCUGCCCUAAUGACACAACAGGGGAUUGCUGCUUUUUUUUCCUUUGUGAAUUGUUGAUGCAAAAAUAACUUGCGGUGACCUCUGGCUUGCUGCGGAGCUUAAAGGGCACUGCAUCGCCGGCCGGCCCACAGCUUCCCUUCCAGCUCCUCCACAGCCUGGGGUCAGGGACCAGCACAAGGGGCAUCUCACCCGCGUGUGCCUCUGCAGAGCCUGACUGCCGCAUGCUGCUGGGUCUGCACCGACUUCAGGGGUGCCCUGCUAGCCCUCGGCCGGUGUCGCAGCCUAGAGGAGUCAUCCACGUGCCUCCAAGUGUGCGGUUGUUUUCUAGGUGCCGUGUCACCGAACGCCACCCCAAAGCAUCCGGUCGUGGCACUUCUGGACCUGAAUUUAAAAGUGAGAUUCUGCGACGAAUGUAAGAAGAGCUUGGUUGUAUGACUCCCAUUGGGUAGCACAACAAUAAAGUAGUCCAUUAAUAAUGCACACAGUAGCCAUUUAGAUAAAUAGUGGUAUAGUCACAGCAAUAAAUUCAGAAUGAAAUAAAAUCCUUAUUUUCAGGCAAUGGUGCAGUAAAAAUGUGUUGAAAGACGGUGAUUUACUGAUAUGCUACCUGCAAAAUGGCAGAGUGCUUAUUUAAUGGCUGGGAGACUGUCCCGGGUAACAGGAACACAAGGUAUGUAAAUUGGGGACAUUACCAUAGCCGAGUCAUCAAUACAUACAUUUCCCCCCCUGUAAUCUUGUUUUUCAAUUUUUAAACUAAAAUACUGGGUUGUUAGUCAAGCAAGAGAAACAGUGCAUUAAAUAUAACUAGAUCAGAAUUCCAAUCUCACUCGGCCCCACUUGCUGGAGGCACAACAUAAAGGUUAAUAACAGAUACAGGACCCAGCGCAUUUAACCACAGUACUGCUACACAUCACAAAGUGACAAUUAGAAACUCUGGCUGAAUACCAAUGGCCAGUGAUCAAACAGACUUCAGCAAAACCAGUAGGUUUCACAUUAUCUUUGUUCUUCAUUCAUCAUUUAUUUGACAGGGUACAAAGCUUAUAUUGAGCAUUAGGACUGCUGCUUCUGUUUUACCACACAAAUGAUCUACAAUAAGAGGUGGGGAGGUAGGGAGGGGGAGAAGGGCAUGUGCUUUAUUUCAAUGAGCUUAGUCAACAACUCGAAAUGUUUAUAAGGAACUUGUAUUACCAUGAUGUAUGAUUUUUUCAUUAUCAGUCCAAGUAAUCUAAUUGAACUCCAUCAGAUAAUUACCUUCUGUGAACAGCAUGACUGACUGUGCUCCAUGUUUGCCUUUUUUCUGCUAGCAGACAUCAAAAGCUGCUGGCCCUGUGGGCAACGAGCCAGCAGCGAGCUUGUCUGAUAUACUGUUCAAAUGCUGCACAGGACGGCAAGCAUGCCCCUGCUUCCAGCUCUGGGCUCUUCUCAACAGCGGCUCGGUCAUGGUUGUGUCCACAGCCACAUAGCCCCGCUCCAGCGGCCACAUGGAAAGUAAAACUGAACGCCAAACAAAUGUGGGAGAUGAGUUAAUUAACAAGUAAUAACUCCUUAAGUCUCGUUUUUGGCACUAUCUACUUCCAGAACAAAUGGAUGGGAAGCUACUAGGUCCUCCACAUGAAUUUCAGUAGGGUGACUACGAGGGGUUGUUGUUCUUAGUGGGGGUGUUACAGUGAUAUCAUAGCCGUGAUGGUCCAGGAAUUAUGCAAGAGGCAAGGAUUUUUUGGGGCGAUCUCUUUUAUUGGACAGACAGAGUAGUUAGGAUAGAGUUAGAUAAGCUUUCAAAUGCAGUAAUUCUGAUGUUUCCAACUAUCAGGGUGCAUCUACACGAGAUGCUUUAAGGUGCAUUAGCCUAAAUGUAAGGCGCAUUGCGGCUAAUCACGCCUAAAUUUGAUAUUAUGCAGGCAUCAAAUUUAGGUUCAAAUGCAGGUAUCAAAUUUAGGCUCAGAUAGUUAAAACGCAUUAACAAACAUAUAGAUGUGUUAAAGCACAUUAACGCUGUGCGUGUGGACUGACUCCGGAUUAACUUUAGUCCCAAGUCAGUCCACACACACAGCGUUAGUGCACUUUAACACCUGCAUGUGUAGAUGCGUGGCUAAACCACUUAAUGCACAUUAAGCUAAUGUGCAUUAAAUUUAGGUGCACUUAAAUGCACGUGUAGACACACCAUAGGUGUUGUUAAUGAUAGCUCAUUCUGUGAUACUUCUUUCCUUUGGCUGUCCAUGUAUGAUGCGCCAUCCUUGGCAGCCAGCAGCCUCACUGGCUUCCCUGGUUGCUGUGUCGGGCGGGAAAGGUUAACAAGUUAGCAGUUCACUGCCUGUCAAAGCUCCUCCAGUUGAAGGCCUGAAACUAGCAUCAUCGUUCUGUCUCCGACCUGUCAAACUAGAGUCACUUUGAUUUUGCAGGUGGAUUGAGCAUGUCAGCCAAUGUUAGUAUGUUAUCUGCAUGCCUCACGAGGGGAUCUGUCACGUUUAACACGAGAGGCAGAAGUCUCCCUUGCCAUGCAAAAGGUCUUCUCAGAGGGUUUUCCUCUGGUGGAAGGGCAGAAAGAACGUAUACGGGACUGAGGGGCAGAUGCAAUGCUUCCUACAGGAGAACAGCUUUGUGAGAAAGGCAUUGGGCUGAGGCUUGGAAGACUUGGACUCUGUAACCUGGAAAAAUCAGGGCUGAUUCUGGAGGUUGCAUGCACUCUCAAUGUCCAAUGCAGGCAGUGAGCACUGCAGAGACUCAGAAAGUCUGGCCCUUUCUCUUUCUCUCUCUGCCAUUUCCCUCGGUAUAAAGCGGGGAAAAAAACCUAUGCUUUGUCUCUUGGACAGUGCACUAGUAACUCAUCCCUAUUUAGGGCAGCGCUGAAGCACAUGCAUGAAGUAUAGCAGCAAGUGGAGUUUUGUCCUGAACUGGGGCCCAACUGAAUCUCUGCAGGGCAGAGAGCAUCUCAUCACGGGCCAGCACAACGGGGACAGGCGUUGGUUGCACUUCUAGCUACCGUAUAGUAGAAAACCCAGUGGUUAAAACUGACACCUCUCAUACUGGCUUUUUCCCUAUUUCAGUAUCAUUGACAAUCACUUAAUUCCUAUGACUUUUCUUAACUAGAUACUGAUUUUCCCCUCCAAAUAUAUGGAUAGUCUCAUGGUUAUAAAUCACACUAAUAUAUGAUAUAUGGGCCUAAUUCUGUUCCUACUGAAGUCAAUGGAAAUUUUUCCAUUGACGUCAAUGAGGAGGAUUGAUCUCUAUGCAUGUUCCAUUUGUUCCUGAGAUUUUAAGAAUUCAUUUCCUCCUUCCAUUGCCAAAGACAGAUAGCAGCAGUGGAGGUAGAGGAGUCAGCUAAUAACCACAUAUUAAUACAUGAAUCAUCAGCUGGGAAUCCAACUCAGGAAAAGACUGAGAGGAAAAUAACUGAACUUGAUAUUUGGGCUGUCUGAAAUAAAGGAUUUUACAAAUAAAGCACAGCGGAUAAUCUGUAACAAGAUAAUAAUUGCAAUGUAAAUUUUCACCCUAGCUUUGGGAUCACAUACAUCUUUUAAAGGCUGUUUAAACGUAUUACAGCGAUUAGGGCUCUACUGGAAAACCUUUUUUUGCUUUGCUGAACCAUGAGCAUAGAAACUCUGAGUUUACAUUUCUCACUUUUAAGUACACCUAAUUACUAUCCAAUAGGAUACUAAGUCAGUACCUUAAAGUGAAACGGCAGCAAUCACGGCUCGUCUUUAAAGAAGCUAGCAUAGAAAAAGAGCGACGUGUUUUUGUUCUGAAUUAAAGCUCAGUGAGAUGUGGAUGUUCAAGAACCCGACUCUUUCUUCUGCUUUAUUUCUUGCUUAUUCACUGCAUGCUUUGGUGUCAUCAGCACAGAACGCCUGUGGCCCAAAGGCACAACUGCGAUUGAAUACCGAGGCCCUGUUGUACACGGCAGGAUGUCUGAUGGGGAGGGUUUGUUUUACUCCAUUAUCCUGGGGAGACCCGCUGUUUCUCAGCCGUGGAGUUGGUGGAGCACUGCAAUUUAGUCAUCCUUGGGGUGUUGCCCACAGCCACUCUGCAAUGUCCACAGCGCUUUAACCUGCUCCAAACACUCAGAGAGGCCUGGAUUUGUGGUUCUUUUUCCAAAGAAGGCUGCAAGGGUGGUGGUUUUGGCAGACACCCUUACAGUGUUUGCAACUAUUUAGUUGGUCUAAUAAAAGAUAUCACACGUACCCAAAGAACCUUGUCUGUGUACUACCCUUGUGAGGGCACUCAAGUGAUUGUGCGUUGUCUUGAGGCUGUUGGACGCUAGCACCAAAGAAAGCCUCCAGGCUGAUGAAGAUGGGUGGCGUUCAUAAUUGCCUGCCCACGCAGAGGGACUGACUUGGCCCCGGAGGCUCCUUCCAAUUGAUGUUAACAGAUACUGAAGCACUAAACAACUGCCCCCAGAAAUAACUACAAAAACUGGCUUUCGGUGAAGGACGCAUAUUCAAGAUCUCAGAGCCCUCUUGGAAGGAAGCCACAGGACGACGGGCACAUUUGAGCCGUGUCCUGUACCCGACGGGCGUGGCUGGACUGUUUGCACGUGGCAGCCAGCUCAAGAGCUCUUUUGGGCCCUUGUUUCUACCUCUUAUUUGAGUGUUAGUGUAAAGGCUAGGGGUUAAAUCUCUUGUGAAGUGACAUAUUUUCUCAUAUAUCACAUACUUGCCACCCCUAAAAAGCCAGCUGCUGGAAAUGGGGGUGUGCAUUAUAAGUAAGGAAGUAUGGUAACAGCCGUUUCUGCUGCCUAAGCUUCUGCCAAGAUGCCUCUGAACCUCAGGGAGCAGAACAACGGGAUGGCUCGGCUGCCUCGCUGCUGCUCCUCAAUUAUUCACUACAAGAAAAGAUCUUUUUUUCCCUUGUUCCUGCCUUUCCAAAACAAGGUGCAUAUCUUAUUCCGGGGUGCGUCGUAUGUGAGAAAAUACGGUAAUUUUUUUUCACUGCAAACUUGUCAAAACUUUAUGAAAAACUGUUUACAAACAGUUUGAGAAGCAAAACUGUUGCAUUCUAUACAGUUCUAUACUUCGCUCCCUUCCUGCACCUUGUACGGGACCGAAUCUGGGAUUUUGGCCCUCUCAGCAGUACCAUGCGCCCAAGUUCUUCAGAAGAUAGGCAUUUGCUUUCUAUCCACUGACAUUUUGGAGGCAACAUCUCAUUAGCCUCAUUACGCUCUGUUUUCCUACUCUCACAUUAAGAAGCACUUGUGGAAUUAGUUACUAUUCACUGAGCCCAAGGAUGGUGGAAUUGGGCCUUUAAAUCUGAAAUGGAAGUCUUAUUUUUUAUUGUUGCACUUUAAUGUCAGAAACUGCCAUUUUUUAUUUAAUGAUACUUCCUGUACAGCACUUCUAAGAAAUUCUUCUAUGGAGGGUGCUAAAUAUAAAGAGUGUAUUGUAUACAACCUAUUACAUCUGGGAAAGUAAUGGGAAAGCAUGGGUAUGAUUUUGAAUUCAUUUGCAACUGAAAUUUCUGAGAGUGACUUGCUGUGAUGGCUCAGGUUGUAAGUACCCUUUGUGCUUAGAAAAAAAAAAAAAAAGGAAAGAAAGAGAAAGCAAAAGCAAUCACCUUUCAUUAUCCUGAAAUCUCUUUGUGUUUUACCCUAUGAUUUUGUUUUCACAAUGUGACAAAAAAGACUAAAGAAUAAUUUAGACAAAGGAAUGAUGUGUGUGUAUGUCACCAUGGAAACGAUCUGUGGGACAAGCUUGGAAAAUAAUUCUGUUAGCAGUGUGCACGCUCCGAAAAGCUACCAGACUCAUAAAAUGUAAGACCCAUCAGUUGUACCGAAACUUCAGUACCAUUUUGUGUAUAGUAACGAUGAGGUACAAUAGUCAGUUCUAGUCUAUGCGGUUCUGUAUAGGUUCUUACAAUGUCUUAAUACCUUCCAAUAGUGCAUUAAGUGACAUUACUUAAAUCAGUCGCAUGCUAUUUGUUCUCUACUCCUGUCCCCAGGGGGGCAGAAAUGUGUGCAGCAAAUUGCUUUGCUUAGGUAGGGUGCUUGGGUUAUUUUUGUUGCUUUUUGCUUUGGGCUUUAUUAGUAGACAUGUUACCAUGUAUUUGCAUUACAGAAGACAAGGUCAAAGAAAUGCAAUGCUGUGAGGUUUGUGAUGAUGCUUAGUUCCUGCCUAUGAUAAAUACUUUCCUCUCUUUUACAACUAGGCUAAUAAUGACUAAUUAAGAUAAUGCUUUAGUUAAGGCAUGUGCUGAGUGUUUUCUCACUUGGUUAAUUUGAAAUCAGUGAGAGAGGUCAUUCUUCCCCAAGUUCCUGAAGCUCGGGCGUUGGAAGCUCACAGUCAAACUGAAAGAUUUCCCAGCCUGUAGUAUAUGGAUUGGGCUGGGUUAAAGGUAAAGGGGCUCAUUCUUCUCCACCAUCUGGGGUAACUUCACUGAUUUUCUACCAGAUACCAUAUACCAACAGGCCCAGGGCGUGGCUGGGGGACAUGGUGUUCUGAAUCACAGGAGUCUAUUGGGAUGUUACAGCUGGCCUAAUUAGUUUGGGGCUUAAACCAGGAUUGAUGUACACUGCCCUAUCUUGCAGUUUAAGCCGAAGCUGGACCCUGAGAAUCAGCCCCCAAGAAUUUGUCCAAGGAGAGCUCAGAACCCAAUCCUGUUAACGGGCAGAAAAUUAUUGGGCUCGGACAAGCUCAACAAGGUACUUGUCCAGCCUCAUCUUGAACACCUCCAAGGAUGGUGACCAUUGACGACGCGUAGGGGGUGCACACAGGUGCACGUGCACCCCUGAAAGAAGCACUGCUGACACUGCUGGCAGCACCGGUGGGCAGUCACCGCUCACCACCACCCCUCGUCGCUGCUGGCGCCGGUGUCUGCAGGCAGUCACUGAUCACCGCUGGCUGCUGCUGACACUACUGGUUGCGUCUGCAGGUGGUCGCUGACCGCUGGUCAGUGCUCGCCACCUCCUCCGCCGCCGACACUGCUGCGGCUGCCUGCGGGAGCUCCCCACUCCCCACCACCAUGCCCUCACCGCUGCCGUCUGUAGGCGGUCAGCGUGCCCCUCAGCCUCCGGGGGCACGUGUCGCUCAUGAUGGUGACUGCACCACCUCUGCUGGGAGCGUACCAGGAAUGUGCCUGGAAAGGAAGGACAAGAAGUCUGAAGAAGCUGAACUUAAUCUAAAUCUUGCGUCAUGCAGCAUCCCAGAGCUAAACUGAGAUUUGUAGUGAAAAAUGAUAGACAGCUUUUUUUUUCCUGUACUUUUAACAUAGUGCAAGCCAAGAAUCAGAGAGAGAAAAGCAUGAUUGAAAUAUAGGGAAAGUAUCUCAGAUUUGGUUUCUAUUUCCCCCCCUCCUUUUUUUCCUUUCCAGGGAUAUUAGAUAAAGAGGGAAGAGAAAGGUUGCUGAUAAAUUUCAGCACAUGCAAAUCUGGAUAUAUUUUUCCCUCUUCAUACAAAAUAAAUAUAUAAGAUGCACAA